rnacentral:tRNA from 1 species
UUCCCCGUGGUGUAAUCGGCAGCACAGGUGUUUUUGGUACAUCUAGUCCAGGUUCGAGUCCUGGCGGGGAAG